CACUGCUAUCGGGGUUCGAUUAAGCCAUGCGAGCCGAGAGGGUUCAGACCCUCGGCGCACUGCUCAGUAACACGUGGAUAACCUACCCUGAGGAGGGGGAUAACCCCGGGAAACUGGGGAUAAUACCUCAUAGGUUUCAGAUGCUGGAAUGCUCUGAAACCGAAAUGCUCCGGCGCCUCAGGAUGGAUCUGCGGCCGAUUAGGUUGUUGUUGGGGUAACGGCCCAACAAGCCCGUCAUCGGUACGGGUUGUGAGAGCAAGAGCCCGGAGAUGGAUUCUGAGACACCAAUCCAGGCCCUACGGGGCGCAGCAGGCGCGAAACCUUUACAAUGCGAGCAAUCGUGAUAAGGGAACCCCGAGUGCCUGAAACCAGGCUGUUCAGGUGUUUAAAAAGCACCUGGAGAAAGGGCCGGGCAAGACCGGUGCCAGCCGCCGCGGUAAUACCGGCGGCUCGAGUGGUGGCCGCUAUUAUUGGGCUUAAAGCGUUCGUAGCUGGGUUGUUAAGUCUCUUGGGAAAUCUCACGGCUCAACCGUGAGGCGACUAAGAGAUACUGGCAAUCUUGGGACCGGGAGAGGUGAGA
rnacentral:rRNA from 1 species